CACUGACAUCUGCCUGAGAAGAAACUUCAUUUACAGCAGUGGCAGAGAUGAAGUUCACUGUGAACUAGAUUUGAAGACCAUAUGCUUGAACAAGCCGAGGAGGGGAGAGAGGCUCUUAAGAAACAGCUUUUUCUUGGUCUCACUGUGGAUGAUGCUGCAUGACAACAUUGUGACAUCAUAGCUUAGGAGCUUUUACUUGCUGUUGCACCAACGGAGCCGGGAGCCUUGGGAGUGUAACAGCACCUUGGAAGUCUACCGUGCUUUCGUCCCUGGGAUUUAAGGCACUUCCCAGGCAUUUUUCUUUCUAAACCUCACAACAUCUCUCUAAGGGCUAAACAGAAAGCUGAUUUAACUCACAGGCCUGUUGACUAAUUCCGGCAAUUAAAGCGGCAUUUAUAACAAGAGCUCUCUAGCAAACAAGAGGAAGGCUAGUCAGAAAUGUCCAUUGUCCAGUUUCCUGGAGAACGACUUGCUGUGUCCUUUGAAAGAGAGAAGAGCACUAGUGGAUAGUAGCUGGAGGAAGAAAGUACAACUUUUCUAUGCGAAUCAAACAUAUUCAGUCCACACAAAGGCACCUGACAUGUGAGCAGUGUCUACCUGUUUGCAACAGGGACAAAGGACUCCCUGGAACAUGCUGCAAAGCUGAGCUCUCCUCAGGUGAGCAUGACUUUCCAUCCUGAACACUCAACAGCCACCAAAGCCACCCUGAGCUGCUGCCUUAUGGCUUCCUUGGCUCAUGAAUUUGAAAAGUGAAUUUCAUUGACAGUGGAAUGAUGUCAUGGAGAUUUUCCAGUACCGCCCUUGAGUGUUUGGCUUUUAGUCUGCCCAUAGGACAGACACAAUACAAGGGUGAAAUGGUAUUAGGAAUAUUACAAACAAACAGGCAAACAACAACAACAAACAGUCAUAUGUGGGGAUUCCCAGGACAUCGCUUCUUCAGUGUCUUCCUCUUCCUGUGGAUUUCGGGUCCAUACCCCCAGGCUGGACAACUGGACAGCGUCUCAAAGUAUGCGGGUUCCAGGGAUGAAACUCCUGUCAUCAGAGUUGGUGGCAAGUGCCUUUACCAGUGAGACACAUCUGCUCCUGGCAGUACCAGUUACCUCAAGAGGAUGAAGAAACUUCUUAUGGAGUUUGCUUUCAAUGUAGCAAGAACUAUUCUUCUCUGGCCACAGAAGGUGGAGUGACGUCUCGCCAGAGGCUGGACAAAGAUGAAUGUAUUCACCUAUGGAAGUGGAUCCGAGCAACUGUAUGAACAAAUGCAAAAGAUUUGUCUUGGGAGUCUGUUCAAGGCAACUUCCAUGCACUCAGAGAGAAUAGCAACAAUAGUCAAAAUAGAAAACACUAAUUUGCACAGUAUUGUAUUUUCCAGACUAUUUUGUGCAUAUUAUCUCAUGUGGUUGAGUAAGUAAUAGAACGUUUUCACUGAUUAGGGAACCAAAAGAAUAAAGCUAAAUGGA